rnacentral:rRNA from 1 species
UAACACAUGCAAGUCGAGCGAGACCUUCGGGUUUAGCGGCGGACGGGUUAGUAACGCGUGGGAACGUGCCCUUUUCUACGGAAUAGUCUCGGGAAACUGAGGGUAAUACCGUAUACGCCCUUCGGGGGAAAGAUUUAUCGGAGAAGGAUCGGCCCGCGUCUGAUUAGAUAGUUGGUGGGGUAAUGGCCUACCAAGUCUACGAUCAGUAGCUGGUUUUAGAGGAUGAUCAGCAACACUGGGACUGAGACACGGCCCAGACUCCUACGGGAGGCAGCAGUGGGGAAUCUUAGACAAUGGGCGCAAGCCUGAUCUAGCCAUGCCGCGUGAGUGAUGAAGGCCUUAGGGUCGUAAAGCUCUUUCGCCAGGGAUGAUAAUGACAGUACCUGGUAAAGAAACCCCGGCUAACUCCGUGCCAGCAGCCGCGGUAAUACGGAGGGGGUUAGCGUUGUUCGGAAUUACUGGGCGUAAAGCGCACGUAGGCGGAUCAGAAAGUUGGGGGUGAAAUCCCGGGGCUCAACCCCGGAACGGCCUCCAAAACUCCUGGUCUUGAGUUCGAGAGAGGUGAGUGGAAUUCCGAGUGUAGAGGUGAAAUUCGUAGAUAUUCGGAGGAACACCAGUGGCGAAGGCGGCUCACUGGCUCGAUACUGACGCUGAGGUGCGAAAGUGUGGGGAGCAAACAGGAUUAGAUACCCUGGUAGUCCACACCGUAAACGAUGAAUGCCAGUCGUCGGG